GGGGAAUUAGGGUUCGAUUCCGGAGAGGGAGCCUGAGAAACGGCUACCACAUCUAAGGAAGGCAGCAGGCGCGCAAAUUACCCAAUCCUAAUACAGGGAGGUAGUGACAAGAAAUAACAAUACAGGACUUUUUUAGUUUUGUAAUUGGAAUGAGUUAAGUAUAAACCCCUUUACAAGUAUCAAUUGGAGGGCAAGUCUGGUGCCAGCAGCCGCGGUAAUUCCAGCUCCAAUAGCGUAUAUUAAAGUUGUUGCAGUUAAAAAGCUCGUAGUUGGAUUUCUGUUAAUAAUUUAUAUAUAAUAUUUUUAAUAUUUAUAUAAUAUUAACAUAAUUCAUAUUACUAUAUUUUAGUAUAUGAAAUUUUACUUUGAGAAAAUUAGAGUGCUUAAAGCAGGCAUAUGCCUUGAAUACUCCAGCAUGGAAUAAUAUAAAAGAUUUUUAUCUUUUU
rnacentral:rRNA from 1 species